CUCGCAAUGGGCAAAUGCACUUGUGGCUUCAAAGAAAUGCUUUCUCUUCUAUGUCUUUUACUUCUCAGUGCACGGAACUCCCUUCCACGUUCACGUUUUGUUCCAAGGAAAUGGUCCAGUCCUGAGAAAAAUACCUGGAAAGUUAUUCUACACAGUCUCUAGCUUGUAAGAAAGAAACCUACUUCUGUCCAAAUUCUACAUGCUGGGGAACAACAAUAAAAUCUGCACAGGCUGGAGGAAACCCUGACAGUUGGAGGCGUUUGUAUUUCCGCUGCUGGAUGUUUGCCCUGCUUGUGGCGAUGCUGUGCAGGAGCUUUUCUUCCACAGGGCCUUCUUCAUCCUAUGGUUUUGCAGAUUUCUACUCCCAUGCGAGAAGGAAGGAAUAGCAGGAUGCCUUGCAUGGACAGACCUUGAAGGAAGUUGUCUCUAUUGAGCAAGAAGGCACUGAUGCAUGUUUUGGAGUCACCCCACGGCCAAGCACCUGAGCUACCCAUCCUGACAUAGGGGCACAGAGCAGAACCCCAUCUACCACGUGAAGUGCCUCUAAAUCCCAAAUUCCCCUUAGCCCGAAAUCACCUGCUCUGGCAUCUAAACUUAAUUAGCAAAAGCAACAUCAGCGGUUUCCCCGAGGUUGUACACGUGGAGCCGCACUGAUUGAGGAAUUUAGAUGGUAAUGAAUGGUCCCAGAGUGAGGACGAACGUGCCCAGCGCAGAUUUAGGGUGAGAGGUCGGGAAUUCAGCAGCUUGUUUGGUAUCAAGAGCACUGCUCUGGUUUGUGUUAAAUGCCUGGCCAAAGCCACCUCGAGCUGAAAGUGCCUGCACGUAGUGGGGCUCCUCCAGGGCAGGUUUGGGUUUCAAGGCAGAGCCCAGAGACCGGAGCCCCAGCCCCCAGGGAGGAGAAGCAGAGGCCAAAGGGUAUAAGAGAGGGCAUUAAUGCACAGCAAGCUCGCACUGCUCAUUUUGGGGCCUUUCCAAUGACCUUUUGCAGCAGCAAACCCUCAGCAGAUGCAUUAACAUGCUGCCUGUGUCCUUUUGCUGUUGUUUGCUCUUUCUCACUGCCUGUACUUGGAGGUAGAUGCACAUGGGCACACUUGCCCACCUCUGAAAAACAACUAAAACCCAUCAAACUCGGCA